CUUGUUUUUACACACAGAGGCACACAUUCUCUGUAAUGAAUAUUCUUUAAUUUCCGGACUAUUAGCAUUGAUUUAAAUACAAGUAUUAGCUCAGAAGUUAUAUAUGUUGCUGUUAGAAGUUAGAUCUGUCCUGCGGUUAAUAGAUUAAAUCAGAAGUCAGAAUGUUUUUUUACGAUUUUGUCCGAUAACGAGCUAAACUACUCCUAGUGUCACCUCGUAAUAAAAACAUUUUUAUUCACCGUUUUACUUGAUAUACGGUCAUACUGUUGUACAGAAUUUCAAUCGUUUUUUGGCGGGCAGAUACCCUAUUAUUUUUGAUUUUUCUGUGUUACUUUGUUGCUACUUGCUGUUCAAUUUUCGACUUUAUAUUUUUCUUUGAGGUAAGUCGAUUACAAUGGACUUUUUCCAUUAAUACUAACAGACGUAAAAUAGCCAAAUGUUGUUUAAAAAACUGUAAGAGUUUAGAAGUAGAUCCAAAAUUAUUAAGUCACUUUACUUUUCCGAAGUAUCUUUCUAGAUUUGCUGUUUGGAUUACCACAUCUAAAAACUGUUGAUGUAUCAAGUUUAAAUAAUAAAUAUAGAUUGUGUUCAAUGCAUUUUGAAAACUGUAUGUUUAAAAAUGAACAGGAGAACCGUCUUACAUCUGAUGCUAUACCGAAAUAAUUUGAAAGUAUACCAGAGCAACAAAUUGUUGAAAAUCAAAUCAAUGAUGACCAUGAGACUAACGAUUGCUUGCCAUCAUGUUCAUCACCAGAUACAACUACUGGCUAUUCAACAAUUUUCGUAUCGGAUGUAUCAACAUCAACAAAUGCAAUAGAAAUGAGUUCUACGCAAUCUCAAACUCCACCAUCUCUAUCGAAUAAAACUCCUUCACUAAAAAAAAUACACCACCUGAUAUUUACAUAAGAAACUUUCAAAGUAUUCUGGAAGACUAUACAACAUACCAGAUGGUAUACACGGAUGCCUCAAAAUCUGUAUAAGGAGUUGGUAUUGCAAUAAUAUUUCACAACAAAAAAGUACUCCACAAACUCCCUGAUAGAUGUUCCAUUUUUACUGCUGAAGCAGCAGCAAUACUUACAGCCAUACAAUUAAUAAAUACUGAAGAAAAUUCAAAUUAUGUUAUCUUUAGCGAUUCUCUGAGUGUACUAAAUGGUAUUAAAAAUAGAUUCAACCCGGGAGAUAAUAUAAUCAAAAUCCAAAAUGAACUUGAGGAAGCAAAGGACAGAACAAACCAGAUUAUACUCACCUGGAUCCCUGGACAUUCCGGAAUGGAUGGCAAUGUCAGGGCAGAUGAGCAGGCCAAAAUCCCUGUAAGGAGUACCGAGGCGUCCGUAUUGAACAUUAUCACUUAUGGUGACAUCAAAAAACAUAUCAAAGAGAUAUCAUACAAUGAAUGGGCAACGAUAUGGAGACAAAAAAAAAAAACAAA